rnacentral:lncRNA from 1 species
AGAGAGAGACAGAGACAGAGAGACAGAGAGAGGAAAGAGAGAGAGACAGAGACAGAGAGAGAGAGAGAGAGAGAGAGAGAGAUCUGGACUCGAAUACCUUGCUAGGACCCGCGUGCAUUGUUGGGCAAGGAGAAGACGGUGCAGUGAGGAGCGAGGGUGAUUGUCCACUUACAACAAAGUUUGCAACUCCCUGGAUAGUCCUUUCUACACCUUAAGAGAACCCCUUCCCCUCUUCAAAAUUGCUCAAGAAGAUUAAUGUCCACCUCAAGGCUAAAA